GCCGCGACGAGUAGGAGGCCGCUGCGGUGAGCCUUGAAGCCUAGGCGUGGGCCCAGCUGGAGCUGCCGCAGGUGCAGAUCUCGGUGGUAGUAGCAAAUAUUUAAGUUCGAUCCUUGAAGACUGAAGUGGAGAAGGGUUCCACGUGAACAGUAGUUGAAUGUGGGUCAGUCGAUCCUAAGAUAUG
rnacentral:ncRNA from 1 species